CCAGACUCCUACGGGAGGCAGCAGUGGGGAAUAUUGCACAAUGGGGGGAACCCUGAUGCAGCGACGCCGCGUGAGGGAAGAAGGUUUUCGGAUUGUAAACCUCUGUCCUCUGUGACGAUAAUGACGGUAGCAGAGGAGGAAGCCACGGCUAACUACGUGCCAGCAGCCGCGGUAAUACGGAGGGUGCGAGCGUUAAUCGGAAUUACUGGGCGUAAAGCGCUCGUAGGCGGUAUGUCAAGUCAAGGGUGAAAUCCCCGCGCUCAACGUGGGAACUGCCUUUGAAACUGGCAAACUGGAGUGUGUGAGAGGAUAGUGGAAUUCCAGGUGUAGGAGUGAAAUCCGUAGAUAUCUGGAGGAACAUCAGUGGCGAAGGCGACUAUCUGGCACAUAACUGACGCUGAGGCUCGAAAGCGUGGGGAGCAAACAGGAUUAGAUACCCCCGUACG
rnacentral:rRNA from 1 species